UGCCUACCCGUAGGGGUUGCGUACGUUUCGCAUGUAGUGGCGUGGGUCGGGGACCCUGGUGGCCGCGCUGGGGACAGGGCGAACUCCGGGCCUGCCCCCUCCGUGGGGCCGCGCUGAUUGAUGCCCCUGCCGUGCAGACGCUGCGCGCUCCCGGUCGGGCCCCAGGUGCCCUGCUCCACGCAGGGCACAGGAUGGGUGGGGUCUCCAGCUUGUGCAGUUUGGAGCUCCCUUUUUAAGAAGAAUGCGGAAUUAGAUACGAAGGACUACGUUGGUGGCGCAGUGGUUAAGAAUCUACCCGCCAAGGCAGGGGACACGUGCUCGAGCCCUGCUUGGGGAAGAUCCCACAUGCUGCGGAGCAACUAAGCCUGUGCACCACAACUACUGAGCCUGAGCUCUAGAGCCUGUGAGUCACAACUACUGAGCCUGCGGACCACAACUACUGAAGCCUGAACACCUAGAGACCGUGCUCUACAACAAGAGAAGCCACUGCAAUGAGAAGCCCGUGCACCGCAACAAAGACAUGUGGGAUCUAGUUCCUUGACCAGGGUUGGAACCUGAGCCCCCUGCAUUGGAAGCGUGGAGUCUUAACCAAUGGACCACGAGGGAAGUCUCAAUUUUUUCUAAAUUUUUGAAUGCAGACCUUAAUUACUCCUUCAUAUGGGAAUGAUUUGGUAAUACUGUUUAUAUAUGGUAAAUAGAUAAUUCAGUCUUUUCUUUAGCAGGGUUAAUCAAAUUUUGCUUUUUAUUAUUAAUAGUUUAGAACAGAUUGUCCAGAGUUACGUUCUUUUGAUGAUGUUACAUACUCUUUUAGGGUUGCCAUCAGACUUGGCCAAACCUAUCCUGUAUGUCUGGAGGCAGGGACCCACCUCUAAUCCGUGGUGGCCUCACAGUGACUUGUUAGGAGCUUUGUGUCGUGUAUUUCAUGUCAGACCAGGAAGAAAUGGAAAACACUUUCCAUGUUUGCUUUCCUCAUCUUCACUAAUUGGAUCCCAUACGUUCUGUGUGUUUCCGACCUCCUUACAGAAGGAGCCUACUCUGUUUUUAUGUGAUUUGUGUGUGGCCCAAGUAAACAUGUUCUUGUGCUUUGUGCAGUCUUCAUGAUUUUUGACAGUUCUAAAGACAUCCACUGAUGUGAAUGUCUGAUGUAAGUGAUGUCUGUCUUAUUGAAAACUACACAAGCAAAACAAAUAAAGGCAAUGUUAGUCUUGGAAUAGGCUAGUCAACAUCCUGUAGCAGUUUUCCUGUUAAAAAGUAACUUUCAAAUGUUUUAAGAAACAUCUUUUUUGUCCGUUGUACCUUGAUUCUUUGUAAAUGGAAUCAUAAUUUUGAACGAAUGAAUUUUUCAUUAAACAGGGUUGGGGGAAUUAGUGUUCAUUCUAACAGGUUUAGUGAAGUAAUCAAUGAAGUAAAAAAUCAGUGGGUGGGGCCACCUGGUGUGUCCUGCUGAGUGGACUGGUUGUGGUUUCCCUUUCUGUUACCAUCAUCUUCCUUCUGCUUUUUAUUCCUUCUGUUUUUUGUUUGUUUGUUUGUUUUUUGCUUCCUGUUUAGGAGUGUUCUGACUCUCAUAAUACCUUUCAUCUCUGUGUUGUCAUUUUCAUUACCCAUAUUUUCUUAGCUAUCAUGAUUCUUUCCCUUCAUGAUUUUGACCAUUACCGUUUUUAGUUUCCAUUGUGUUACAUUUGUUUUGAUAUUUUGAAGUGUCUACCAGACUUUUUCUUUUGUUUUUUUUUCCCCUCCCUUCCAGUAAACUACUUCCCUCUGUUUGAAUUUUGAUAUGAUCGGUAAUUCUUUAAAAGUAUACAAAGUUAAUCUGAAUUUAGGGCAAGUACAAGUGCAACUCAGAUGCAUUUUUUAUUGCCCCUAUGUGUACUGAGCUCCAUGACUAUGAAAUAAAAUAACUGUACACCACAUACAAUGAUUUACAGGUGACUGUGUGAAGGAGUUCUAUCAUAGGAAAACACAUUUCUUCAGGCCCUUUUGCUGUGUCAUAUGAAGGUUGAAAUGAGUUCAUACUGACGUUUCCAGCUCUAGUCCAGAACCACGUGGUUUCCUCCAGCCUUUCCUUGCUUCUCUGUAACUCACUCUCCAACAUGAGAAAUCUUCUUUGCCCACUUUUAAAAAUUGUGGUACUUGAUUUGUUAGAGGCAAGAUCCCUGUCUUCUCAUCUUUUUAUUUCCUAAAUGAAGCACAGUGUCUCCUACAGAUGUAGCUCUGCACCGAUGUUGAAUUGACAUGUUUAGCUUUGAUGUUUACCAUCAGAAUUCUCUACAAAAUAGUUGCCUCAGCUUCCAUGCUCAUGUUCUGACUGCCUGCUUCCUCUCUAUUUCUCAUCCCUAAUCCAGGGCCAGCAGGAUGAGGCAAGGUUUUCAUCUUGGUCCUCUGUGCUUCACAUAAGCUCAGAGAAGUUUUUUGCAUGGGCCAAUGGACAGUAACUGAUUGGAAUAAUCAUUCACUCAUUAUGUCACUUUCCCAAACUUACUCUGCAUCAGACCAGUGCCAAGCCUAAUCCAAUUCCAGACUCAGAGUCCUGUUGGGAUAACAUGUACGCAAUGACUGUCCCAGACUGCAAGCUGGGAACCAGGUGGGUACCAAGCGGCUUCGAGGGAGGAGCAGUUCUCACUGCAUGGCAGGUGGCAGGGGCGGCUGAUGGAGGUGCCAUGGGAGCUGGGUCUUGCAUUUGGGUGGCUGGGUGAGCAUGUGAGGGGAGGGGGACCCGGGGAAGGAGGCUGGCCAUGUGUGAGGGAAUGUGGGCUGCUGGUCCAGGUGAGGAGUGAUGAAUCAAGGCUGCCUCCCCUCCCUGUCCCGAUGAAGGUAGGGCCCGGCUCCCCUUUGCUCCCCGUGGGCCUGGGCAUCCAGCACUGGGCCCAGCAUGAAGCUGGAAAUAGGAAAUGUUUGAUGAGUGGACAAGCUACUGAAUGAAGGAAUGAAAGAGUGAAUGCAUGAAUGGGCGAUGAGUAGCCCAUGAGUCAAAGUUAGGCUGGAGGUUUAGAGCUCAGGAGAUGGGAGGACCAGAGAUGCCCAGACAAAUUCUGAGAAGCCACAGCCUGGGUUGGGUGGGGCUGGGGCUGGGGGCCCUGAGUUGAGGCGAUAGAAGUUCCUCUAUUCAGAAAUACCCUUUAGCUAUUGAAUUCUUGUCUGUCCUACUGUCUGUGUUUUGCAUGUUUUCCAUGUGGGCUUUGGGGGACACUAACCUCAGCACAGAGAUCCAGAAAGGUCACCUGGAGGAGACUUGGCUGGAUGGCGAUGCCAAGGGCAACCGAAGAUGGGUCUGCAUGUGGCUGACCAUGGGACACCAGUCACUACAAGGGGCACACGCCUCACACCUUCAUCCCCCACUCCCAGGCCA